AUGAAUUAUGAAACCACUCGCGCAGGUUGAGAGGUUACACUGAGCUGGGGAGGUUCCGCCACCAGUGUCUGCUCAAAGUGGUUGGGGGAUGGGGUACUUCCCACUUAGGAGGGAAGGGGGGAAUAUGAACAGGUGAGUGGCCACAGUGGGGCUGAGACCCGUAGACAGUGGGACCAGCGGGGGCUUCCCAAAUCCUGGGCCCUCAGACUGCAGGAUCAGAAGAGGGAAAAAACCCCAUAGGACCGGCUCAGCUUCCCGAGGCUGGAGGGUGAGGCUGCCCCCUAGUGGCUGAAGUUCACGACCGGACGGACGUUCAAGGAGUCCCGGGCGUUCCAAUGCUUUCUCCCAGGAAGUGGGCUCUGCAGGCUGGAGUUGCCCUAGUGUCAGGGUGAAGGCUGGGAGCCAACGUCUAAUCAUCAAGGUGAUGGAACUCUGAGGGCUGAAGCUCCUGCACAUUAGCAUCUGGAGAACUUAAAAAUGUACUGAUGCCUGGGAUCUGCCUCAUCACCUGCUGGGAACUGGUCAUCUUUAAAAGCUCCUCAGAUGACACUGCAGGCUGGGCCAAGACACGCUGCCCUCAGGAAUUGCUGAUUAAGAGUUUGCUCCUCUACUCUCAACACCGUUUCUAUUCCCAUCCCCUUGGAUUUGAUUCCCAAAGUCAAUCUAUCUUCUUUAUUUCAAUCGGACAAACAGUAGGUGCACCAGAUCCCUUCCCUCUGCCUGAAUAUUUGUUU
rnacentral:lncRNA from 10 species